GCAUGGUGACCGUAUUAAAAGUGCCUCAAAGCACUGGUAGAGGAUGGACUUAUGGCGCAUUAGCUGGUUGGCGGGGUAACGGCCCACCAAGGCGACGAUGCGUAGCCGACCUGAGAGGGUGACCGGCCACACUGGGACUGAGACACGGCCCAGACUCCUACGGGAGGCAGCAGUAGGGAAUUUUCGGCAAUGGGGGAAACCCUGACCGAGCAACGCCGCGUGAAGGAAGAAGGUUUUCGGAUUGUAAACUUCUGUUAUAAAGGAAGAACGGCGGCUACAGGAAAUGGUAGCCGAGUGACGGUACUUUAUUAGAAAGCCACGGCUAACUACGUGCCAGCAGCCGCGGUAAUACGUAGGUGGCAAGCGUUAUCCGGAAUUAUUGGGCGUAAAGGGGGAGCAGGCGGCAGCAAGGGUCUGUGGUGAAAGCCUGAAGCUUAACUUCAGUAAGCCAUAGAAACCAGGCAGCUAGAGUGCAGGAGAGGAUCGUGGAAUUCCAUGUGUAGCGGUGAAAUGCGUAGAUAUAUGGAGGAACACCAGUGGCGAAGGCGACGAUCUGGCCUGCAACUGACGCUCAGUCCCGAAAGCGUGGGGAGCAAAUAGGAUUAGAUACCCUAGUAGUCCACGCCGUAAACGAUGAGUACUAAGUGU
rnacentral:rRNA from 1 species